rnacentral:rRNA from 1 species
GAUGAACGCUGGCGGCGUGCCUAAUACAUGCAAGUCGAGCGAACGGACGAGAAGCUUGCUUCUCUGAUGUUGGCGGCGGGCGGGUGAGUAACACGUGGAUUACCUACCUAUAAGACUGGGAUAACUUCGGCAAACCGGAGCUAAGACCGGAUGAUAUUUUGAACCGUAUGGUUCUAGAGUGAAAUACGGUCUUGCUGUCACUUAUAGAUGUAUCCGCGCUGCAUUAGCUAGUUGGUAAGGUAACGGCUUACCAAGGCAACGAUGCAUAGCCGACCGUAGAGGGUGAUAGGCGACACUGGAACUGAGACACGGUCCAGACUCCUACGGGAGGCAGCAGUAGGGAAUCUUCGGCAAUGGGCGAAAGCAUGACGGAGCAACGCCGCGUGAGUGAUGAAGGUCUUCGGAUCGUAAAACUCUGUUAUUAGGGAAGAACAUAUGUGUAAGUAACUGUGCACAUCUUGACGGUACCUAAUCAGAAAGCCACGGCUAACUACGUG